rnacentral:rRNA from 1 species
UACGUAGGGUCCAAGCGUUAUCCGGAAUCACUGGGCGUAAAGCGUGCGUAGGCGGAUGUUUAAGUGUGAUGUUAAAUCGUGGGGCUCAACCCUGUCGUUGCAUCGCAUACUGGGCAUCUAGAGGACGGCAGAGGCAAGUGGAACUCGUAGUGUAGCAGUGAAAUGCGUAGAUAUUACGAAAGAACACCAAUGGCGAAGGCAGCUUGCUGGGCCGACCCUGACGCUGAGGUACGGAAAGCGAUGGG